rnacentral:misc_RNA from 1 species
GUGAAUCAUCGAAUUUUUGAACGCAAAUUGCGCCUUUUGCUGAAGCCAUGUCUGUUUGAGUUCACCAUUUAACAAAUAAUGUACAUGCUGUGUGUAUUUUUACGCCCACGUGCACACGUUGAUGAGAUUUUCCAAAAAAAGAAAAUUUUUUUGUGGCACAUAAUUAACAACGUUAGCUUUCCUCCAGUUUUUACGAGUGUA